rnacentral:rRNA from 1 species
UACGGAGGGGGCUAGCGUUAUUCGGAAUUACUGGGCGUAAAGCGCGCGUAGGCGGGCUGGUAAGUCAGGGGUGAAAUCCCGGGGCCCAACCGCGGAACUGCCUUCGAUACUGGCAGCCUAGAGGAAGGCAGAGGCUAGUGGAAUGGCGAGUGUAGAGGUGAAAUGCGUAGAUAUUCGCCGGAACACCAGUGGCGAAGGCGACUGGCUGGGCCUGUUCUGACGCUGAGGUGCGAAAGCGUGGGGAGCAAACAGG